rnacentral:rRNA from 1 species
GAUGAACGCUGGCGGCGUGCCUAAUACAUGCAAGUCGAGCGAACAGACGAGGGGCUUGCUCCUCUGACGUUAGCGGCGGACGGGUGAGUAACACGUGGAUAACCUACCUAUAAGACUGGGAUAACUUCGGGAAACCGGAGCUAAUACCGGAUAAUAUAUUGAACCGCAUGGUUCAAUAGUGAAAGACGGUUUUGCUGUCACUUAUAGAUGGAUCCGCGCCGCAUUAGCUAGUUGGUAAGGUAACGGCUUACCAAGGCAACGAUGCGUAGCCGACCUGAGAGGUGGAUCGCCCCCAGUGGAGCGGACCCCCGCUCCAGCCUCCCCGGGGGGGCGCCAGUGGGCAUUUUCCCGCAUUGGGCGAAGCCCGGAGAGCGCCGCCCCGCGUGGGGAAAGAGGGUUUUGGUACCUAAAAACUUUUUUAUGGGGAAAAAACAAGUGUGAACGUACAAAUGCGCUUCUUGACGGUCCCUAAUAAAAAACCCCCGCCUAACCCCGUC